ACCACCCCACCCUCCCCUCUUUUCUCUGCCGCCUCUGCUCCCAUGGAUGAUGCUGGCAGCUUCCACGCUGUACCGACCCAGUCAUGUGAUGGUGGGGCAGUGGUCACACCACCGCCCCCCGCCAUAGACCUCGUGAAAUACUCUGGAGCCUCCUGCUGUGAAGUGAGUUCACAAAUGUGUGCUGCUAGAGCCAGAAACCCUCCAGCUGCUCUAAACUGAGCUGGACUGCAACAAAGCUGAGACAGAUGUGUUUCGUCUGUUCAGUGUUGGGUGAAAGGCCUAUUUACACCAGAGCUCCAGCACCGACAAGAUAUCCAGCCAUGCCUUCACACUGUCCAUGCUCUGCUGGAGUUUUUACAUUCUUUUGAUAAGAAACAAGUGCUUGAUAGUGAGGGAAUGAAGCCCGUUACCAAGAGAGAACAAACACUGCAGCCUUGAGCAACCACCUGCUCGUCUCCUAGACUCCCCUCUUUAUAAAUAACAGUAUGUGGUGCAGAGUCUUCUUCUAAUUAAACUUUUAGAUGUUCAGCAGCCAGGACUUGGUUUUAUCUAUUCAAUUAAUGCUGUAAACACAUUGAGUAAAGGACACAAGAUUCCUUCUGACCCUAGUCAUUACUAUUACAAUGUUUUUUUUGUCCCUCUUUAUUCUAGCUGUAGACUAACAGGAUGGCACAUGACUUCUUUUGUACUCUUUCGACCACAUCCAAUAAACUUAUUUUAUCAUAUGGUUUUUAUGGUUUUACCUUGUUGUUGGGUGUGUUUUCAUAUGUAUAGCACAUUUAUUUGGGUGUAACAAAUCAUUACCCAAACUGAUGUGUUGCUGUAAUUGUUCAAUAAACUGAACAGGAUCUUGCAAAAGACGUUUUUGCUUUGUGUUUCCACUCAACUUCCCCUUCAAAUCUCGUAACUUCCCUUUAUAAAUUUCAUGUUGCUAGCUGCCCCUUAUCUGGAGGUAGAUGGUUUUCAGCAAAUACAGUCAGCUGUGACAGGGUCGGGUCACCUUUAGUAAUGAACCUGUUCAGUUAGUGGAACUUGGGGAAGGGUGUGUGUUUAUUGCCGGAUUAAGUGGUUCCCGUUUUUUGGCUAUAAAAUAAUCGAUGUGUGUCAAGCAGAAUUACCAUGAAAUCAAACCAGGCAGGACAGCGUCACAUGCAAAGUGCAGAAGCUUAAAUGAGCAACCAGUUUCCUCAUUCAUGGUCUCAUUUUUAACCCUGUCAACCCCAAGCAGUUCCUUUUACGUCUGUCAUGAAACAUCAGUCCUGCACAGAACAGAACAUCAUGUUACAGCAUUGUUAUAAUGCCGUAAAUUAACAUUUUUCUCCCUAACCCUUACCCAUUGUCUACAGAUGUUACCAAUACAGCAACAACUGUGGUUUACUUUUGGCAAGGUUUUAUAUGAGAUGUUUAGAAUAAAGUGAUUUUAGUUAAGUGCAGUAUUUUGUUUAUUUUAUGAUUUGGUUAAUUUUUUUCUUACAAAAGCGAAUAAGAGAGAAUAAUACAAUUGUUCCUAAAUGUUUGCUGUUUUUGGCAAUGACAAAUUGUGUAA